UACGUAGGGGGCAAGCGUUGUCCGGAAUCAUUGGGCGUAAAGAGCGUGUAGGCGGUUUGUCGCGUCUGCCGUGAAAGUCCGGGGCUCAACUCCGGAUCUGCGGUGGGUACGGGCAGACUAGAGUGAUGUAGGGGAGACUGGAAUUCCUGGUGUAGCGGUGAAAUGCGCAGAUAUCAGGAGGAACACCGAUGGCGAAGGCAGGUCUCUGGGCCACUACUGACGCUGAGAAGCGAAAGCAUGGGGAGCGAACAGG
rnacentral:rRNA from 1 species